rnacentral:rRNA from 1 species
GACGAACGCUGGCGGCGCGCUUAACACAUGCAAGUCGAACGGAAAGGCCUGCUUUCCCUUGUGGAUUGCGGGUACUCGAGUGGCGAACGGGUGAGUAACACGUGCGUUAUCUUCCCCCAACUUUGGUAUAAGCCUGGGAAACUGGGUCUAAUUCCCGAUAGGACUGCAGGGUGGUUCCUGUGGUGGAAAACGAUUUUCUAGUGGUUGGGGAUGAGCUCGCGGCCUAUCAGCUUGUUGGUGGGGUAAUGGCCUACCAAGGCGGCGACGGGUAGCCUGCCUGGGAGGGUGGACGGCCACGUUGGGACUGAGAUACGGCCAAGACUACUACGGGAGGCAGCAGUGGGGAAUAAUGCACGAGGGGCGGAAGCCGGAUGCAGCGACGCCGCGUGGGGGAUGACGGCCUUCGGGUGGUAAACUCCUUUCGACAGAGAGGAAGCCACCUGGUUGGAAGGGUGGUGACGGUAGUGGUAGAAGAAGCACCGGCUAACUACGUG